rnacentral:rRNA from 1 species
GACAGAGGGUGCAAACGUUGCUCGGAAUCACUGGGCGUAAAGGGCGUGUAGGCGGGAAGGAAAGUCAGAUGUGAAAUCCCCAGGCUCAACCUGGGAACUGCAUUUGAAACUCCCUUUCUUGAGUACCGGAGAGGAAAGUGGAAUUCCCAGUGUAGAGGUGAAAUUCGUAGAUAUUGGGAAGAACACCGGUGGCGAAGGCGGCUAUCUGGACCGACAUUGACGCUGAGGCGCGAAAGCGUGGGGAGCAAACAGG